UACGGGGGGGGCAAGCGUUGUUCGGAAUUACUGGGCGUAAAGGGUUCGUAGGUGGCCCGCUAAGUCACACGUGAAAUCCCUCAGCUUAACUGGGGAACUGCGUGUGAGACUGGCGGGCUUGAGUGCAGGAGAGGAACGCGGAAUUCCAGGUGUAGCGGUGAAAUGCGUAGAUAUCUGGAGGAACACCGGUGGCGAAGGCGGCGUUCUGGACUGUAUCUGACACUGAGGCGCGAAAGCUAGGGGAGCGAACGGG
rnacentral:rRNA from 1 species